rnacentral:lncRNA from 1 species
ACCCGCCACAAAUACAAAGUUCCUCUGUUCCCUCAGACAGAGUCUUCUUUGUAUUUGCACGGCGUACCAACAAUAACAUCAGGAUCACAACAACAACCUGCAUUUACCAAUCCAUAAUCAAUUCAUGCAAUGCAUUUUCAUACAGCUAGCAAUCCUUAGAAAUAAUGCAUGCUUCUAAACACUCCUUAGGCAUUGGAUGAUGCGAUGCACAGUACGUACAACAGUCAUCCUAUUUAAAAGUGCUCCCCAUUCGGAAGCUUUGUUUUUAAACUCUAAUAAAUCAUCCAUAAAACCAUUCAAAACUCCUUUUAAAAUUGUUUCCUACUCAAAAAAUAUAUUUUGAAAACCGACUACCUCGAGGGGUAGAAAAUCACAUUGUGUAAAUACAUAAAUCCAGAGACCAAAUAUUCAUAAAUUCCAAUCGCAUGCAUAAUAGGAAAUCACCAAGUUAACAGGUUCACAAAUACUCAACAGCAAUAGUGAUCAUCUAACUGAACUAUUUAAUUAUUAAAUUACUAAAUGUAGAAAUAAAACAUAAUCAUGGUGACGGUCACUACUGCAGUCUAGCUAGUACGUCCUUCCAUCGCGCCAAAUGCCAACUCCUUGCCCGAACUACUUGGGGAAAUAGGGAGUGAAAAACCACAAUCAAGGUUUUCCAGUGGGUACGACAGAGCUACAAAGGCAAGUCGUAAUCACCGAAAACCAAAGGAGGUAAAGUAAAUAAAGUACAGAUGCUGUGAUACGAAAGAGAACUACAGUAGCUAUAAUAGAUAUGAUAAGAAGCAAGUAAUAAAAACUACAACUGUAAGGAAUACAAUGCACAAUGCUGAGCAUGCCUCAAGGUAAUCAAACCACAACCAAACCCAAUCUGGUGCCUGCCAUAUUGGUCUGCAGACCUCAAGCGUUGCCUAUUACAUUGCUUGCACCUACCUGAUUCACCCGUCCACUAGACGACCCAUCCGGAUAAGUACACCUCCGGUCGGUGGCCAAACCGACCUGGUAUCAAUAAAUACAUCCAAGUGCUGUGACUAGAUUAUGCUGAUAUGCUUAAUGCGAAAACCGGCAGGAAGUCGGUGCCAUGGCCGAAGCCAGAUACAAGGGCGUACAACGCCGAACCACGAUCAACCAGAUCGAAACACACGACAAAGGAGUCGAUGUGUUGCCUAGACCCAAGGUCCACAGAGAUACAAUAUAUAUGCAAGCCUGCUUUACAUGUCUAUCAACAACAAUCAUCAUGCAAUCAAUAAGGUAUAAAUAAACGAACGAUAACAAAGCAACCGACAUGUAGAGACUACAAUGCUGAUAUAGAAGAAUAGAGAAAAGUGAAAGGAUCUCAUCGACUACCAGCUCAAAGCACCCACCUGUCACAAUCGCGCCGAAAAUCUAGGUGCGCAAGGAGUCUACCGGACCUAAGAAGAUCCACCGAGUCAUUAACUAGCCCACAAAUCCAGAAUACAUGACUCACAAACCCCACACAAAUCCCCGAAAUCGGUUUCCCAAAACCGAUCAUCGUAACUCCCCGGAAGUCCCGAAAAUCACACUGGGACGUCGUCCGGACCCACUAAGUGUCCCGAAACUCACCGACUCGUACCACAAGUCACCCGCUGCCACAAAACACAUCGAUUUGGCUGUCUUGGUAGCAAACACGAGAUUACACAACCAAACAAUUAUCGCCGGAUAAUUAUUCGAAUUCGGGUUCCUAGAAGUGUCAAUUUCGACACCGGAACCCACCGUCGCUCACCCGUCAUCUCCGAACCCAUGAUAUGACGAUGGUGACUAGCCGACAAGGCUAGCGACAACUCUCAGGGCAAACAAACACAGUCGGAUGAAAUCUGAGCCGAAACCGCGUUCCGCCGGCGAAUUUCGCCGAAGAACGCANCGGAACCCACCGUCGCUCACCCGUCAUCUCCGAACCCAUGAUAUGACGAUGGUGACUAGCCGACAAGGCUAGCGACAACUCUCAGGGCAAACAAACACAGUCGGAUGAAAUCUGAGCCGAAACCGCGUUCCGCCGGCGAAUUUCGCCGAAGAACGCAGUGAAAUCGACCACCGAUUUUCGCGAAGGCGAACGGACCUUGAACGAUUAGUCCGCACGAACAUACAGCCUACAGUAGCCACAUAAUGCAAAGUCGCAUAAAAGUCCCUCUAUUGACAUAAAUUCCUAUUAUUUUAUGUAAAUAAGACGAUUUUGUGGCUCGUUAACGCAAACCGAAGACUUCCGAGGUUCGCCAAGACACACACUGACAGUUCUCGGCGUAUCGGAGGCCAUGCUCAUGAUUCGGAGCACAACAGCUCACUGUGGGAGGUGCGGGAGUGACCCGAACAAUCAGCGAACAGCACGCACUCGGGGAAAACUGCGCCGAAAAUGCAAAUUCAGAAUUCGCUGAUCCAAAGUGAGGUGAGCAUCGUGAUCAGCACUGACCAGCGAUCACCGUGCUCACCUCCAGAGGCAUCUAGACAGCCUCGGAUCGCCGGAAAAAAUAAGCGCAAACCCGAAACAGCAACCAGAAGACCCUUACAAAGCUUACCGGAGCAGUGGAGGCUAGGGCACGGCCGGUGGCGGCUCUGCGGCGGGAGUGCCGGCGGCCGACGGGUGCAGCCGAUGUUGGGAGGCCGGGGCUCACGCCGGCCGGCGGUAGAAGGUGGCGGCUAAGCAACCUAAGUCUGCACGGGCUAGGGCUUGGGUCCAGGGACAGUUGCGGCCACGGCGGCCGGUGGGGAGCUCAGGGACGUCGGCGGUGGACUGCCGGGGGCCAAAGGGAAGCCGUGCGGCCGGUCCCGGGCAGCGGCGACACGAGGGGGAGGCUCUGCUUCACCUCGGCCCGAGCAGGUCUGGGGCGGCCGUAAGUUGACCGAGGCGGCGGCGGCGACCGGUAGGGACGGCGGCGACCGACGGGGAAGGUUGCUGAGGGUCGGGGGAUGCUGUGGGGUUGGUCCAAGGCGGCGGCGGCGCGAGGGAGAAGCCGCAAGCUUACCUCGGUCUGAGCUCGGCCUAGAUGGCUGCAGGCUACUGGGGUGGCAGCAGCGACAUGCGGGGACGACAGCGACCGACCGAGGAAGGUUGCAGGAGUUCAGGGUGACGCCAGAGAGGGGCCAGAGGGAGGGGAGUGCCUAGCACCCUCGGCCAAAGUAAACAGAGAUGGAAAGGUGGUGGAGGGAAUGAAGGGGAAGCAUGAGAGGGUUGCGGCUGCGGUUGGCCGACCGGGACUAAGUCUGCGACGGCCGAGGGCGCGUGGCGCAUGAGGUGAGGGGGAGUACGGCAGCUAGGGUCAACUGGGGGCUAAUCUAGGGUUAGGGUUUGCAUGGUGUAACCCUAAAGGCUAUAAAUACAAGCUCCAAUUUGCGCACAAGUCCCUCAAAACUCAAUAUUUGAAACCAAGUCCCUCACAGCACGAGUAAAACGCAUGAACACACCCCCACAUUCAAUUUCACAUAAAACGGUACAUAAAAUGUCGAGCUUUUCACAAAAUUACCGUUUUGCCAUCUAAGACCCUUCCUCGAUCAACGUGCGAUAUCAGAAGAUCCGUCCGUCAGAUUUGCGAACGGAUUCCACUAGUGCGAUAAGCACGACAGAGACAACAAACUCACGCCUCGUUUGGUCGCAGAUUUGCAACAAAACCUAUCCUCUCUCCAAAUGGCGAAACUACACACAUACAUAUAAUAUACGUAUUUCUAGAUUUCUCAAAAUCCGUACAUCAAACCUAAAAUCCGUCAGCAAUAAUAGUUCCAAAAUAGCCGAACCAUUAAAAACGAGCUAUUGGAUCACUAUGAACGGAGUCCGAUACGUGCCAGAAACCAACUCUACUCAUUGGCCUCUCCGAAAAUUCGGGUUACUAUUCACUUUAAGUGAAAAAUAAAGAUCGCGUAAAAUUUUCGUUCUCACUCGUUUUCUUCCGAAACUUGACGAGUGCUUUUGUAAUUAAAUUUCACAUAAAAACAUUAUCAAUAGAGAGUCUAGCUACACUGUCAAAUUCUCAGUCCUUGCAAAGGUAUUGCUGAUGCUACCGAAUUGUUGUAUAUGAUUGAGUAAUUUUGUACAAAUUUUAGAGCUUUGUAGUGUUUUUUGAUGAAUUGAAGUUCAAUUCACUGUUGGACACCUUUAAAGCUCAUGAUUAGAGGAGAGUAGCACAGCAAUUUUUCUAAUGUCAAUUGUUUGCAACCUUUUAAAUUUUUUGGGGGAAUUGAAGCGAUUUAGGUAUGUGCAAUUAAAAUUUGUUUUGGAGAGUGGCUGAAACUUUUUUAACGUCAAAUGUUGACAAUAGGAUGAAUUGAAAGAGGUGAUAGAUCUAUUUAGGCAAAUUUAGUUGAUCAAGACCUUUCUUCUCUUUUUUUUUUGCUACUCUAGAGUUAGUUGUAUAUUAAGUUAAUUGUCUGGGCAAAUUUACGUAGCAUCAUCUUCUAUCGGUUGCCGCAGAUCUGUGACUGGAUCUACCAUGAUGUCUUGCAAUUUUUCUUAAAAUAAGUAAUUAUCUUUUACUUUUAAGUGCUCUUCUCCUACUCUACCAACCUUUUCAAAAGGUCUCCUCCAAUAUCUUUUGAAUAAAUGACAUGCUUCGUUGCUGAAUUUCAAGUGUUUGAUGAAAUGCUUCCUUACAUCACAGGCCAAAGGAUCACUGACCCUCUAUUUCCAGCCCCUUUAGGCUAUCCGGUAAGCAUUUCUUCCUUCUAGCACUAUGCACAGACAACUCCAAGCGAGCACGAUUCAUUUUAGGGGCAAUUGCUUAUAUACUCUUGAAAAGUUUUUGAUUUUUCGAUUUACCCCUCUUAGAAGGCUAAUAUUGAAAAUACCCCUCCUACUUUCCAACCUAUUUUUAAUAUAUUCCUAGAGUUAAAAUCUGUGAAGUAACUAUGUUAUCUCUGUAAAAUUACUAUUUUGCCCUUUCAAAUAUACCCUUCUUUCUUAUUUGCCCUUAAAGUCAAGGGCACAAAAAGUAUUUUGACUUUUGGUCUUUUCCGAUAUACCCCUCUACCGUCAUCAACCUUUCUUAUUUGCCCUUAAGUUAAGGACAAAAUUGGCAUUUUAUUUUUUUUAACUAUGGUAGAUAUUUAACUCACAUUUAACCCAGGUUAACUUAACAGAAGAUAACUGCGGGUAUUUGCAAUAACGGUGAAACAUAUGAGGGGUAUUUUAGGAAAAAAAAAAGUAGGGAUAAAUCGGAUAUUUCCAAACGUAUGAGGGGUAUAUAGGCAAUUAUCCCUUCAUUUUAUUGCCAAUCUGAGUUCCCUCUCCUUACAUGGAUUUGAGCAAGAGAACUCCAAGCCAGCACGAUUUAUUUUAUUGCCAAUUUGAGUUCCCUCUCCCUACAGGGAUUUGAGCCUUUUCUCCUAAUUUCUUUCGAAUAGAUGUUGUAACAUCUAAUUUCUUAAAGUUUCUCUCUUAAAUAUUUACCACUAUUUUAUACAUUCAUAUAUAAAUGUCUAGCACUUCACAUUUUUAUAAAAUGUGAUGAUAAUACUGUUAAAGAUAUGUCUUCUUUUUUAUUGGUUUAGUUCAUACACCGGGUUUAUGGAAAAAUAAAAAGAUCUCAUGAGAAUUUAUUUUGGUGGAUCCUAAUUUAUAUUGGAAUCCUAAGUGGACUAGGAUUGGUUUCCAUAUAAGACUCUAUAUUCAAUUAUCAUAUCGAAUUAGAGUAGGAUUGAACUAAUGCAUCCAUGUAUAAAUAUGCAUUGGAACGUCGAGGAGCGCCGUGUGGUGGCCAAAAUUAAUUAAAGACGCUAAUUAAUUAAAGGUGGCCGGCUCUAAUAGAGGGAUGUACGGUUUCGUGGGUGCAUGGUGUGGAGGCCAAAUUAAUUAGCAUUCGGUGACUAGCUAAUUAAUUAAAGAUGCCCUGUCCGUACGGUUAAAGAAGAGAGGUUUGCUCGCAUGCGACGGAUUGAGGUCGGCGGCGGAGCGGUGGUUCUCGAUCAAUUGCCUGAGCGGUUCGGAUUCUUCGAAACAACGACAUAAAAGAAUUUAGUUAGAGUUUCUAUACUUCUCAAAUUUGGUUUUCUCGGUUUUACGAAAAACUUUUUCGAUAUUUUUUUGGAGUUUUUUUUUUUGUUGUAACAAGAGAAAUGUGGGAUUUACCAUAAGGCUCUUCAUUUUUUAUCCGGAGAAGACAUAAGAUGUAAGCUUGUACUUCUAUUUUUUCAUAUAGUGGAAUACAUCUCUCUUGCUCUCCCCAUAGAUGUAGGCAAUUGCCGAACCACGUAAAUCUUGAUUUCUUCUUUCUGCAUUUAUUUCUUUUACCGCUCGUUCGGUGUUUUCUCUAUUUUUCGUACAUCUUUGUUAGUAGCGCAUGACGGACGAUCCAUCCGGUUCCCAACAAACACAAUAGCGUUUAAUUAAAGCAUACCAUGGGUUAUUUUCAUUAAGGUAAAUUAGGUCUGGAUCUUACUCUUUCCUUUGUAAAGUAUCACACAUACUACAAGCUUUUCUCUUAAUUUAAUCAAUUUUUUAUAUAUUUAUAUAUGUUUGGCACUUUUACAUUUUCAUAAGAGGUGAUGUUGCAUAGAAUGGUGUUCAAUUGAACAAAAUAGAUCGUACUUGCAUUAUUUUCGAACUUUGAGAAAAAAAAGUAGUUCUGGAUUUUACUCUUCCCUUCUUAAGAGUAUUACACAUAUUAUUAGCAUUUUAUGAUGAGGCAACUUGCCUGCAGCCUUAGGGCUAGGGCAACAGUUGCAUCCUUUCGCUCUCAAUAAGAUUUCAGCAAAAGAAAAGAAGAGCAAAAACUAAUUUUGCUAUGUAGCGAACUCAUCAACUAUGUAUUGUUGUUUGGAAUAAUAAAUGACAAUAUGCUCUUAUUUUCUUUUUCAUUUCUCUAAACGUCUUUCCUCUUUGUCGUCUUGAGCCUUUUUAUAUACUUAUAUUUUCCUUCCAUUUUUCUAAUCGAACAUGCAUUCCUUUUUGUCAUCUUGAACGAUUUUAUUCUUAGUCUGUCCUAUUAUUUUUAGAUGUGUUAAAAUAAUUAAACUGCCCAGGCUCUUUGUUUCUCAGAUUGGGCCUUAGAGUUGCUCGUCAUAAGUCACACAUAUAAUUUAUCUUGCACAUGCCAUACUUUUGGUAGAUAAAUGAAUAUUUCUUUAGGUGAAAAAUAUAUAGUUUAAGUAUGCACACUUAAAAUUAUAUAGAUUUUUUCUCAGUAAUCACGCUAUUAUGGGAGAUCUGUCCGUCGGAUUUGCAAAUGGGCUGCGCCAGCUCUUCCGGUACUGUCGAACCAUCGAAACCACAAUUUUGUUUUAUUGCCUAAACUGGUCGCAGAUUCGCGACGAAACUAAUCAUCUCUNUAUAUAUAUAUAUAUAUAUAUAUAUAUAUAUAUAUAUAUAUAUAUCAAAUUUAAAUAAGAAUUCAAAUUCAAAUUUGAAUUUUUCUUGAUUCAAAAAUCUCAGAUAUUAGAUUCCUGGAAUUGGAGAUUUUGUUGGAAUUCCUGCAAGUUUUGGAGCAAUCUGGUGGUUCUUUGGAGCCUUUUUUUUGUUGGAUUAGCAUUUCUAGGUGGGUUUUAUUCACCGUAGAUGAUAGAAUUCUCACACUGUCUAUAAUUUCAUGCAUACUGAUUAUUAGUAUUCAAGAAUCCCGAUUACAUGAUGUUUCAUCCAUGUUUCCAAGCCUGCAGUAAUCUGCAUAUUGAUGGUAUAGAGUACACAUGUUAGGAUGAUGUUCCAACUAUGGUUUAGUAUACUUGUAAUAAUCAGUUUGUGAGGAAAUUUAUGGAACCUGAUACUAGUCCAUGUCAUCGCAUAUACCUACGCUAUGCAUUUUUUUUUUAUUUUAUGUCAGGUUGAUUGGCAAUGUUCUCUCAUCAGUCGCAGCCAUCUAGUUGCAUUCCACAUUGUGUCGAGGGCACAUGAAUAGCGCUUUCUAUGAUAUAGUUGAUCAUUUGCGUUGACUACAAUCUGUAAAAGCUGUAUUAAUACACACUGUAUACUUAGUGUGGUCGCGCCCCUUAAGUACCGCUCUAGAGUCUGACUUUAGCAUUGAUGUUGCAACAACCCUAGUGAGCGACCUACGUUUUAAUCGGGCGCCAGCAAAAGUGGUUCUGUAGCAGUAGGUAGGCGUAGCCUUGACUGGAUCCUCCGGUCAAUAAGCGAGAUUGGAUUAUAGUUGGCCUUGACUAGAUCCUCCAGUCAAUAAGUGAGAUUGGAUUAUAGUUGAGAGUAUCUAUAGUUUGUUGAUGCAUGCUAUUCAUCAGUUUCUAGUUUGAGCAUCUACAGUAUAGAGGCAUGGUAGCCGUAGAUUUCUUUUUCAGCUUAUAUCAGUAUAUCUUGCUUUACCGUUAAGUUACAAUUCUCUAUUCUUGCCUCUAGUAGAUCUAGUGGGUAGGAAGUUGACGUCCGUAACGGUACCCACUAGGAACUACUUAUUUAAUAAAUUGUCACGCCCCGAGGUCCUUUUUGGUUUAAAAAUCGAUGCGCGGAAGUGCCCAAUUUUUUUUUUUUUUGAAAGCCUUGACCCCAGAGGACGUCAGAUCCGCCACAAAUACAGGAAGCCACUGUUCACACGGACAGAGUCUCCCCUGUAUAUGCACAACGUAGCACAAAUACAAGAUACAACCACAAUGUAUAACCAUACACAUACAAUCACCACAUCAUAUAUACCAUUUUACACUUAUCCAAUCACCAGUUUAUCAUAUUUUUAUCAUAAAUCCAAAACUCCUUUUAAAACUAUUUUCCACACGAAAACCUUUUCUUUUAAAAACACGCUACCACGCAGGGUAGAACAUCAUUUUCAUCUCAUAAGAAAACCAUAAGUACUUUAUUAUUUUCACAAAACCAUAAACAUUCACUUGAUUAAAACCACUGAACCAUAAAGUGUCUAAGUUAGUAAACAG